rnacentral:lncRNA from 1 species
UCACCCUCAUAAUCUCCAACUAUAAUACUGUGCCCUCACAGCUUUCAGCACACAAUUAUCCUCGUUCCAAUCACUGGAAUUCUUCACACAGAUUGCCAUUCACAUUACACUAUUUUAUACAAACAUAGACUCAUUCUCUCUGCUGAACUACAAUCAGAUUUCAACAUUCAAUCUUUCUUCUUCUCAAAUAAUACCAAUCACAUUUCCAUUCCAUAAUUUACUUCACAAUAUUCAGAAACUCUCAAUCCUCUUAUUCAAAGAAAAUAACAAACAAAAGAAAAGAAGUAGCACCAAGCUUACCCUGACUCACACUAUUUUAGCGAUGGCCCUUGGCUCACGACUCUCAUAGUUUGGCAUCCUAAUUAACAUCUACAACUCCUAUAUACUUUUCCCUGAUUCUCCAGAUUCUAACCAUAAUUCUGUAAUUAAUCGCUUUUAAUAACUAAGUCACUCAUCCG